UGACAGUGACAAAAAGGAAGCAGCCUUCUCUAGCCCACCCAAGUUUCCAUCAAAGGAGCAAGCCUAUGUCAGUAAGAAGAAAGCUGGCUAACCCUCCCACCCCUUGUUUAACUCCUCCAGCCCAUCCCACAUCAUUGUAGAGUGAAGAGACUGCGGUUAAUAUUCAGAAAGAGGCGCAGAGAACUGAAGGCUUUCCUGACUUGACACCGAAUAAUAAG